GACGGUAGGAUGCGAGCGUUAUUCGGAUUUAUUGGGCGUAAAGCGUGCGUAGGCGGCUAUUUAAGUCUGGAUGUUAAAGCUAGGGGCUCAACCCCUGGUGAUGCACUGGAUACUGGGUAGCUUGAGUGCGGUAGAGGGUGGCGGAACUCCGGGUGUAGCGGUGAAAUGCGUAGAUAUCCGGAAGAACGACCGAUGGCGAAGGCAACCACCUGGGCCUGGCACUGACGCUGAGGUACGAAGCGUGGGGAGCAACAGG
rnacentral:rRNA from 1 species